ACAAGAACAUAAGUACUUAUUUUAAUUCUGAAUACAGUAAGUGCUCAUUGUUGUUGUGU
ensembl:miRNA